rnacentral:lncRNA from 1 species
CUGGAAGUCGGUCCAGGAGCUUUUUGGAUAAUCCACCUCAUGACUGGAAAACAACGAAGAAACCCAGUAGCUUCUUCGCCGUGUGGAUUCAGACCCCGGGAGCCCAGGCCUGCACCUGGGCAGCUGCUCCCUGCACGUGGCCGGACAUAUGGAAUAUGGAGCCCCGCUGCCUUGGAGUCAGAGAGCUGCCAAGUAGAAUUUGCAUGAGAUGAAAUUGAGAUGGACUUGCCUUGCUCUU